UGUUGCAGUUAAAAAGCUCGUAGUCGAACCUUGGGUCUGGCUGGCCGGUCCGCCUCACCGCGAGUACUGGUCCGGCUGGACCUUUCCUUCUGGGGAACCUCAUGGCCUUCACUGGCUGUGGGGGGAACCAGGACUUUUACUGUGAAAAAAUUAGAGUGUUCAAAGCAGGCCUUUGCUCGAAUACAUUAGCAUGGAAUAAUAGAAUAGGACGUGCGGUUCUAUUUUGUUGGUUUCUAGGACCGCCGUAAUGAUUAAUAGGGAUAGUCGGGGGCGUCAGUAUUCAGCUGUCAGAGGUGAAAUUCUUGGAUUUGCUGAAGACUAACUACUGCGAAAGCAUUCGCCAAGGAUGUUUUCAUUAAUCAGGGAACGAAAGUUAGGGGAUCGAAGACGAUCAGAUACCGUCGUAGUCUUAACCAUAAACUAUGCCGACUAGGGAUCGGGCGGUGUUUCUAUGAUGACCCGCUCGGCACCUUACGAGAAAUCAAAGUUUUUGGGUUCUGGGGG
rnacentral:rRNA from 1 species